rnacentral:lncRNA from 1 species
AACUCAACAACCGAGUUUUUUAGACUCACCUAAACAUACAUGACUCAUAAAAGCUGCCAAAAUUUUGGCAAUGCGAAUUUGGUGUCUCUGAAUCGCUUUGGCAGUCAGUGUCCCACAGACAAUUACCCCUGUUUCUCAAGAUUGUUCGCCGUUAGGACCUUUCUGAAAAUCUUUUGCCUUCCAGAGAUGUGCAGGCUGGCCCAAGUAGAAACCAUAUUUUUCACAUCUCCACUCUGUUUGAUCAGACCAUAAUACAUCUGAUUCAAAUAUUUUUCUAAGUCAUCUGAUUCAUCUUUGUCUGAUGCACCUGAUCGAGAAUUUAGUUUGUAAUCUGUCUAUUGUCGUCAACGGCUAAGCCUUCACUUUGCAUAGAUGAAAUAACUUACACAGUCAGCAUACCAGCAUAAGCAUGUAGCUUACUAAUUGUCUAUCUCAAAGAUGUGGACAUGGUCCAUCAGCCGUUGGAAGAGUCUCGGUCUACAUUUUCCAACU